rnacentral:rRNA from 1 species
AGGAUUAACGCUGGCGGCGUGCCUAACACAUGCAAGUCGAACGAGGUAGCAAUACCUAGUGGCAGACGGGUGAGUAGCGCGUGGUCAACCUACCGUUGAGUGGGGGAUAACUAGCCGAAAGGUUAGCUAAUACCGCAUACGUCUCCGAGGGGCAUCCCUUGGCGAUAAAAGGAGCAAUCCGCUCGAUGACGGGACCGCGUCCCAUUAGCUAGUUGGUGGGGUAACGGCCUACCAAGGCGUCGAUGGGUAGCUGGUUUGAGAGAGCGACCAGCCACACUGGGACUGAGAUACGGCCCAGACUCCUACGGGAGGCAGCAGUGAGGAAUUUUCCGCAAUGGGCGAAAGCCUGACGGAGCGACGCCGCGUGUGGGAAGAAGGCCUUCGGGUCGUAAACCACUGUCGAAGGGGAAGAUAAUGACGGUACCCUUGGAGGAAGCCCCGGCUAACUACGCGCCAGCAGCCGC